UCGGCCCCGAGGUGUGUUUGCUCCGUGUCCCGUGGCUUAGGUGCGUGCGUGACGUGGGAUGAUUAAAUGCUCGCUCGCCUAAAAAGGAGCAUCCCAACCCCCGCCCCAUGAAAUCCCGGCUAUUCGCCUUUGUAAAUGCGCGUUACGAGCCCUUAUCCCCGCGCCCAGGACGGACGUGCGGUACCGGGGGCCGCUCUCACAUCGCGAUGGCCGCUCGCUGCGAAAAGUUUAUUGAUAGCUGCGGGGCUGUCAUCUUCGCCAAGCACAGGAGGCUCCGCACUCAUUUAGGGGCGCCAGCAGCGGCCGGAUCAAAGGAGCGGCCCGGAGGGGACCAUUGAGGACGUUAACCCGCAUCGGGGGAGCGAGGCGCCUCGGCCCUGGGACAGCGGCGUGCCGGGGCGGACAGAAGGGUUUGGCGCUCCCACCGUAAGGAGAUGCGCCCCAACCCCGAAUUAAGAACCCAAAUAGCGGUGCGUUGUGUGCCGCCUUGUCCCCUCGAUCCUACAGGAGAGAUUGUACAUUACAGCAAUUACAGACAAACUCUUCCAGACAGUUUGAAGACCAAAACUUUCUUUGUGUGGAAGUCCAAAGGCAAUUAUUGGCAUUACAGUUUAAGAGAAGCAUUCCAUCUCCGUGAUGCAACAGCAGUAGCUUUCUGUGGCAUGUUAAAUAAAGCAAUUUGCCCUGUAGGAGACUAAUGCAUGCAGCGCUGUAAUGAAAAAAAGUGAAAUCACAGUUGCUCUGAAAGGAAUGGCAACCUCUCUUCAAAAACAUAAAAAACUUCUUCUGGCUCCAUCUUAACUGUAAGACAUCAAGUAUCUUUAACCUUUGCUCUUACCUCCUUGACAUUUCAUAUAUUGCUUCAAGACUGAGACUCCACAAAGACGUAAGCAUGCUAAUUAAUGGUUAAAUGGUUGCAUUUUAACAAAGAAAAAAAAAGUGAUUAAAAUGGAAGAUGACAGCACUUUCAUAAUGCAUGCCAGGGUAUAGAAAUCAGUUCUAGUCAAAUUUUUGUUCUCAUAACAGUUCCCAUUUGCAGAAAAGAAGGAAAUGAGCGAAUUUGAGACUAGAAGUAUAAAGACAUGACCUCAAAAAAUUGGAUAGUCAUAUUUCUUGGAAUCUGAGAAAUUAGGCAAGCAAUAGAAACCAAUUGAUUCACCUCCUUCAGAUAUUUAUUUAACUAAGUUAUUCACCUAACAUAUUUGUGAGUUAUUUGUCUGUUUCAGUAAGCUGUGUGAGUAACAGAAGUGGGUGGUCAACUACACUUAGGCUCAAGUAUCUCAGAAAAGUUUGAAACAUUUCUUCAGUAAAACUCAUGAAUGUUAUCCAGCACUUCAGGAUCCUCAGAGGCUUGAUCCCAAAACACGCUUAACUGCCUGUAUUAAAAGGAUAACAAUUUAACCUUUCAUCUAAACACUUUCAUCCAAAAAUUUCUAAAUCAGAGUUCAGUCAAAAGCCUUCAUAAGUCACCAAGCUGGAACCCAUGAAGGAUCAACAGAUAUGGUGUUAUUGUUUGCCCAAACAAACCAAGAAUUAAUCUGGAAUAAUGAUCCUAAAAAGAUGAAGAGGACACUGUUACUAAAACAGUACACAUAUACGAAAUAACUGUCAGGUGAAAGUAAGAACAAGCAGGCUUUCAGAAGACUGUAUUUAAUCAAAAUAUAUGGAUCAAAUGUUACAGCAGCUUAUUGGCAUCUAUAAAUGGAACCACAGCUUUUUUUUUUUUUUCCAGACAAAUUUCUGCUCUGGAGGAUAGAGAAAGCUUUAAAGAAAAGGGAAAGGAAUUGCUUUAACAGCUGCAUUAUAAUAAUGAAACGUUAGAGCAGACGAUUUCUCCAGUCAUCGCCCAGACUGUUCUUUUUAACGGUGAUGUGAUGAGGUUUGCAAAACAGACAGCACUAAUUUUUCUGAGACAGAGCCAGGUUUACUAGGACAAGCCCCAGAUAUGAGGAAAUUCUUCAUUUUUGAGAACAAAUGAAGCCACUUAGCUUUCCCUGCCAUCAGAGCAAAUGCCAGUCUGGCAGUCUGAUGGAAAAGCUGAACAAGGCAAAGAAGAUUCUUGUGAGAGGAAGAAAAAGCAAAAAAGCUCAGCCAAUUCAAUGCCUCAGCAAAACACCAAGUGGCAAGACAAAGAGCAGCCUUUCAUGGAGUCAUGGUAUCAUUUGAGUUGGAAGGGACCUUUAAAGGCCAUCUGGUCCAACUCCUCUGCAAUGAAAAGGGACACCUAUAGCACAGUCAGGUGCUCACAGUUCCAUCCAGCCUGAUCUUGAAUGUCUCUAGGGAUGGGGCAGCCAUGUCUCUGGGCAAUCUGUUCCACUUCAUCCUUCCAUAAGCAUCAGCAAGCAAAAUAGCAUGGGCUUCUCUGUACUGUAUUUAUGCUCUAUUUUAUGGUUGUUUUUAUUUCAUUAGAAAAUAUUUUUAAGACGGUUAGUUAAGGCUAGAAGGUCAUUUUGGGAUUUCAUGUGCCAUGUAUACUCUGUAAUGAACGAGUUUGUAUCACUAGUAUGAGCCUCACAUGAUGUUUGUUUAUACCCAGCAUCAGCUGACUGGAAAACCCAUCAUAUCAUCUGCAGUGACAGAUUGAACUGAUUGGUGAAGCACUCUCCAAUUAGUCCCAAAGAACUGCUUCUUGAAAGUUUUUCAUCACCUGGAGCUGAGCUUUCUGUAUAUCCAUCUGGUUUUAGAUACAACAACAACUCUAUAGAAAGCAGAAGAGAAUAUUCAAAUAAAUGUUUUUCUGAAGCUGAAAAAACAACCUGGCUGCACUUAGUUCUCUGGACAUACAAAUACAUUAUGGGCAUGUCUUUUAAAAAUGUAUCACUCUUACUCCUUGCAUCUGACCAGCUCUGUAACAGCAAAUAGAAUCAUGGAAUCAGAAUAGUUUGAGUUGGAAGGGGCCUUUAAAGGCCAUCUCCACUGCAAUGAACAGAGACACCCACAGUUCGGUCAGGUUGCUCAGAGCCCUGUCCAGCCUGAUCUUGGACUCCAGGGACAGGGCAGCCACCACAGCACUGAGCAGCCUGUUUCAGUGCUUGACUACCCUUAGAGUGAAAAACUUUUUCCUUAUAUCCAAU
rnacentral:lncRNA from 1 species